ACUAGGCUAGUUUACCACACACACACACCACCACCAACAACAACAUGAAGGAAAAAAAUUAAAAGCAAAAACAAAGAAAAAGCAUAAGGCAAAUUGCACUUUAAUUAUGAGUCUACAUUUUCAUUUGAGCAACUCAAUUAGCUUUCCUUUCAAUUUCCUUGGUUUCCUAACAAAUUGUAUAAGCUGAUCUGCUGAUGCUCUUGGUCAUUUAAAUGUGUUCAUGCAACUGGCAAUAAUGAAUUUCUACUACCUGUUUUGAGCUUAUUAUUGGGUUUACAUUAUUCAUUUUACUUUUGGUUAUAAUUAUGAUUUAUGAGCAAGCAAUUUUAUAAAAAAUUGAUGGGAUGUUUAAUAACAUAUAUAUCUCAGGCUUCAGACUCUAGAGCAAAUUUAUGGUGUAAUUUGUGUUACUUGGAGAAAUUUGUUUGUUUAAUCUCAGAGAAAAAGUAUGUUUAAUGCAUUGAUGAGGAACAGAAUAUAGAACUUCUUUCACUUGCUGACAAAAGUAAUCCUUCAUGUGUUAGUUUUAUGGAGCCUUUUUCUAACUUGAAUAUCUAUGAUCAAAGUUAAUUUCAUACUUUCCUCUUCUGCUAGCAAUAUAGAACAGUAUGGAUUCUUCUGUUCCAAUCUACUUUUUAUAGGUGAGAUAAGUGAUUUGACCAAUUAUACUUCGUUAUCGCUAUCUUGCAUGGCUGUUUCCUAGCUUGUGAAAAGUAGUUGGCCAAUUUCAUUGCUAAUAUAACUUAAUCUUCC
rnacentral:lncRNA from 1 species